UGGGGAAUUUUGGACAAUGGGGGCAACCCUGAUCCAGCAAUGCCGCGUGUGUGAAGAAGGCCUUCGGGUUGUAAAGCACUUUUGUCAGGAACGAAACGGUGGAGGCUAAUACCUUCUGCUAAUGACGGUACCUGAAGAAUAAGCACCGGCUAACUACGUGCCAGCAGCCGCGGUAAUACGUAGGGUGCAAGCGUUAAUCGGAAUUACUGGGCGUAAAGCGUGCGCAGGCGGUUGUGCAAGACAGAUGUGAAAUCCCCGGGCUCAACCUGGGAAUUGCAUUUGUGACUGCACGGCUAGAGUGUGUCAGAGGGGGGUAGAAUUCCACGUGUAGCAGUGAAAUGCGUAGAUAUGUGGAGGAAUACCGAUGGCGAAGGCAGCCCCCUGGGAUAACACUGACGCUCAUGCACGAAAGCGUGGGGAGCAAACAGG
rnacentral:rRNA from 1 species